rnacentral:lncRNA from 1 species
GAAUAUUGACAAUUUAGUGGACUCAAUUUCUUAAUGUUUUUUGAGAUUAUUAUGUAUGACACAAGAUGUUUAUUUUAAAUGUUAGUAAGACGUUUUCCACUACUACGUAAAAAUUCACUACAGUGCACUAUGGUGAAGUUUAACUAUUUUUUUUUUUUUUUUUUAUCGUUGUAAGACUUUUAUGUUAAUUUUUAAUAUAUAUGAUGAACACC